UGGGGAAUCUUGGACAAUGGGGGCAACCCUGAUCCAGCCAUGCCGCGUGGGUGAAGAAGGCCUUAGGGUUGUAAAGCCCUUUCAGUCGUGACGAUGAUGACGGUAGCGACAGAAGAAGCCCCGGCUAACUCCGUGCCAGCAGCCGCGGUAAUACGGAGGGGGCAAGCGUUGUUCGGAUUUACUGGGCGUAAAGGGCGCGUAGGCGGACGGUCAAGUCAGAGGUGAAAGGCCUGGGCUCAACCUGGGAACGGCCUCUAAAACUGGUGAUCUAGAGACCGGAAGAGGAUGGCGGAAUUCCUAGUGUAGAGGUGAAAUUCGUAGAUAUUAGGAAGAACACCGGUGGCGAAGGCGGCCAUCUGGUCCGGAUCUGACGCUGAGGCGCGAAAGCGUGGGGAGCAAACAGGAUUAGAUACCCGUGUAGUCC
rnacentral:rRNA from 1 species